UGGGGUCAUUUGGAGUGCAGCGGUCCAAG
rnacentral:piRNA from 1 species